rnacentral:rRNA from 1 species
CCUACGGGUGGCAGCAGUAGGGAAUCUUGCACAAUGGGGGAAACCCUGAAGCAGCAACGCCGCGUGGGUGAUGAAGGUCUUCGGAUCGUAAACCCCUUUUGUUAGAGAAGAAAAUGACGGUGUCUAACUAAUAAGCACCCGCUAACUCCGUGCCAGCAGCCGCGGUAAUACGAAGUGUGCGAGCGUUCCGCGGAAUCACUGGGCGUAAAGAGAUCGUGGGCGGGAUUGCAAGUCAGAUGUGAAAGCCUAUGGCUUAACCAGAGGAGUGCAUUUGAAACUGUGAUUCUAGAGUGUGGGAGAGGAAGGUGGAAUUCUAGGUGUAGGGGUAAAAUGCGUAGAGAUAAAGAGGAAUACUCGUGGCGAAGGCGACCCGCUGGAACAUAACUGACGCUGAUGUGCGAAAGCGUGGGGAGCAAACAGGAUUAGAUACCCUUGUAGUC